CAGACAGUCCCCCUGCUGGUGGGAAAUGUAAAAAAAUUAAAAAUAAACAUGUGUAAAAUUAAUUAAAUGUAUUUAUAUACAUUUAAUUAAUUUUACACAUGUUUAAUUUUUAUUUUUUUACAUUUCCCACCAGCAGGGGGACUGUCUG